rnacentral:rRNA from 1 species
AGUGAACGCUGGCGGUAGGCCUAACACAUGCAAGUCGAACGGCAGCACAGUAAGAGCUUGCUCUUACGGGUGGCGAGUGGCGGACGGGUGAGGAAUACAUCGGAAUCUACCUUUUCGUGGGGGAUAACGUAGGGAAACUUACGCUAAUACCGCAUACGACCUACGGGUGAAAGCAGGGGAUCUUCGGACCUUGCGCGAUUGAAUGAGCCGAUGUCGGAUUAGCUAGUUGGCGGGGUAAAGGCCCACCAAGGCGACGAUCCGUAGCUGGUCUGAGAGGGUGAACAGGCAACCCGGAAAAUGGAAACGGGUCAGGAUCCGAGGGGGAGGAAGCGGGGGGAAUAUUGGACAAUGGGCGAAAGCCUGAUCCAGCCAUACCGCGUGGGUGAAGAAGGCCUUCGGGUUGUAAAGCCCUUUUGUUGGGAAAGAAAAGCAGCAGGUUAAUACCCCGCUGUUCUGACGGUACCCAAAGAAUAAGCACCGGCUAACUUCGUG